rnacentral:rRNA from 1 species
UAUCUCUGUAGAGUCUGCAUAUCAAUAAGCGGAGGAAAAGAAACUAACAAGGAUUCCCCUAGUAACGGCGAGUGAAGCGGGAAGAGCUCAAAUUUGAAAUCUUCAAGGUUUUACCUUGACGAAUUGUAGUUUAAAGAAGUGUUUUCGGUUAGAGGAGUAGUAAAAGUUCUUUGGAAUAGGACAUCAUAGAGGGUGAGAAUCCCGUAUUUGACUAUUCUUUCUAGCUUUGUGAUACACUUUCAAAGAGUCGGAUUGUUUGGGAAUGCAGUCCAAAAUGGGUGGUAAAUUUCAUCUAAAGCUAAAUAUUGGCGAGAGACCGAUAGCGAACAAGUACCGUGAGGAAAGAUGAAAAGAACUUUGAAAAGAGAGUUAAACAGUACGUGAAAUUGUCAAAAGGGAAGCGUUUGACACCAGUGUUGUUUUUCCGAAAAUCAAUUAAAAAUUGAUUCAUGCCAGGUUGUAUUGACCUUAUCAGCUUGCAAUUUGGUUUUGGGUCUCUUUUUGAUGCACUUUUCGGUUAACAAGUCAACAUCAAUUUCCUUUGCUGUAAAAAGGUAAGAGGAAGGUGGCUUCAAUUUCGGUUGAAGUGUUUAUAGCCUUUUAUCUCUGCAGUCGGGGAGAUUGAGGUCUGCAGCGUAGAUCCUUCGGGGCUAGAUACAUUUAUGCUAAGUUAUAGCUUUUCAUAGACAACUUGUUGACUAUGUUUAGUCAUGUAGCUUACUCGUAAGUGCUAUUUUACCUACGCUUAGGAUGUUGAGCGCAUGUCUCUCUCU